UGUGUUAGUUGACGAAACUAUUAAACCACAAGCUCCGUGUAGCCCAUUCCUACAGACCCCAACACGCCAGAACAUUAAACCAAAGGCCACUCUAAUAAGGAAUAAGAACACAGCAAACAGACAAUCAGCCCCUGAACAAAGGAUCC